CUCAGGUUUGCAACCAGCUUGUGACUGAGAAACCAGUAACCUGCUCCCAGUUGAUGACAUGAACUUGUUAGUUCCUCUGUCCAUUUAGUAGCUGAUUUAUUGUGAAAAUCAGCUAGAAAUGAUUCACUAAUCAGUCAUGUUACCUAGAAACAACCAGGCUUUGUUUGUGAGACUUGCGGUCAGGUGGGUCGUUGUGGGCGGAGCUUGGUAAGGUCCAUGGACCAAUGUCCGAUCACCUCACCCACAGAAAAACACACUUCCUCCACGCUGCACAGAGAACCAGCUCCCACCUUGAUGCCGUUCUUCCGUGUCAGCGUGGAGGAAGACCCACCACCAGCCACACCCAUCAUUGUUCCGUCAGAC